rnacentral:rRNA from 1 species
UACGGAGGGUGCUAGCGUUGUUCGGAAUCACUGGGCGUAAAGCGCGUGUAGGCGGCCCACUAAGUCUGAUGUGAAAGCCCGGGGCUCACCCCCGGAAGUGCAUUGGAAACUGGUGGACUCGAGUCCCGGAGAGGAGGGUGGAAUUCCUGGUGUAGCGGUGAAAUGCGUAGAUAUCAGGAGGAACACCGGUGGCGAAGGCGGCCCUCUGGACGGUGACUGACGCUGAGACGCGAAAGCGUGGGGAGCAAACAGG